GGGGGGCUAUAGCCACUAAAUUAUUGUUUUGACAGUAGUGUAUUUCAUUUAUUCUGUGCCUUUACAGUGUUUUCAUGUGUAUGUACAGUAUAUAGUUAUAUUUCUAUAUAACAUUGUCUAAUGUGCUCACAUAUCACACAAUUCAUGAUGAAAGGGGCAUGGCUGAGAGAGAGAGGAAGAAGAGAUGAAAUGGGGAAAAGAGGAGGAAGAUUGCGUAUAGUUGGAAUAAAAUUAUAUUUAAAUAUAUAAAAAGACUCUUAAGACUAGUUUUAGAUUGUGAUUUUUUUAUUGUUGCUGAAGGGAAGAAAAAAUAAUUUGACUAUUACAGAUAUUCAUAACGAUGAAAUGUAUAUAAACUGCUGUAUGUAUUUUGUAAUCUAUUUUGAAUUUAGCUUCCAAUUUUAAUGAACAUCUGAAUGGACGAUGGGGUCAUGCCUUGAUUAUACAAUUCUGUAAUAUCCCCACCAUAUGUUUCCUACACUACUCUUUUGGACAAACUCGUGAAGAGACUCUGAUUCUCCCACUGGCAGUAGUAGUUGUGGUGAUCUUUCUGAUGAUUGCAAGAACUCGCAGAUGUUAUUUCAUAAAGCAUCAUAAAUUCCACUGGUCAAUGGUCAUACUCAUUUUCGUACUUCUGGAAAGUGGAGUAAUGGUUUAUCAUCACUACAGUGUAUUAGAGCAUGAAAAAGAUCGUUUGGAAUGGACAUGUGUUGCAGCAUUUGUCCAGACUCUGACAAUGAUGGUAUCCUUCAGAUGGAAUGAAAAUGAAUUAGGAGGUCUCUCAAGAUUUGUUAUGUAUAUGAUUGGAGCAGUUGGCCUGAUAUUCCUGAAUUCAUUUGCAUUAGGAACACAACUGAUCCUGAAUUCACG